CAGCAGCCGCGGUAAUACGUAGGUGGCAAGCGUUGUCCGGAAUUAUUGGGUGUAAAGGGCUCGCAGGCGGUUUCUUAAGUCUGAUGUGAAAGCCCCCGGCUCAACCGGGGAGGGUCAUUGGAAACUGGGAAACUUGAGUGCAGAAGAGGAGAGUGGAAUUCCACGUGUAGCGGUGAAAUGCGUAGAGAUGUGGAGGAACACCAGUGGCGAAGGCGACUCUCUGGUCUGUAACUGACGCUGAGGAGCGAAAGCGUGGGGAGCGAACAGGAUUAGAGACCCCCGUAGUCCCUGUCUCUUAUAC
rnacentral:rRNA from 1 species